GAUGAACGCUGGCGGCGUGCCUAAUACAUGCAAGUCGAGCGAAUGGAUUAAGAGCUUGCUCUUAUGAAGUUAGCGGCGGACGGGUGAGUAACACGUGGGUAACCUGCCCGUAAGACUGGGAUAACUCCGGGAAACCGGGGCUAAUACCGGAUAACAUUUUGAACCGCAUGGUUCGAAAUUGAAAGGCGGCUUCGGCUGUCACUUAUGGAUGGACCCGCGUCGCAUUAGCUAGUUGGUGAGGUAACGGCUCACCAAGGCAACGAUGCGUAGCCGACCGAGGAGGGUGAUCGGCCACACUGGGACUGGGACACGGCCCAGAGUCCUACGGGAGGCAGCAGUAGGGAAUCUUCCGCAAUGGACGAAAGUCUGACGGAGCAACGCCGCGUGAGUGAUGAAGGCUUUCGGGUCGUAAAACUCUGUUGUUAGGGAAGAACAAGUGCUAGUUGAAUAAGCUGGCACCUUGACGGUACCUAACCAGAAAGCCACGGCUAACUACGUGCCAGCAGCCGCCGUAA
rnacentral:rRNA from 1 species